UUGCAUAGAGUAAGGGGUGGUUUUUCUUUUGUUCUUGAAGGUGAGCCUUGCUGCUCUUUAGAUUUUGGGUCUGUGUCGUUUUUAUGAGCUGUAACACUCACCGUGGAGGUCCGCAGCUUCAGUUCUGAAGUCAGGGAGACAAGGAACCAAGCAGAAGGAAGAAACUCCGUACGCUUGUGAGCAUCUGAAGGAACAAACUCCGGAGGCACCAUCUCUAAGAACUGUAACACUCGCUGCGAGAGUCAGAGGCUUCAUUCUUGAAGUCAGCGAGAGCAAGAACUCACUAGUUCCAGGCACACCACGUGCUAGUGAUAAGCAGUAUGAUGCUCUCUCCAGAUGCUGGGCAGUCAGCCAGGGUAUCAUCAGGAUAAACCACCAACAUUCUUCAGCGUGCCGUGUUGUCAGAUAAUUCUGCCCAGCUGCAGGCUAAUGCAAGUGUCCUGAGGAUGUUCAAGAGCAAGAAACUCCAUGUGGUAGAUAGAAUCAUCGUGGUUCUUCAUGGCCUGGCUAGAUGUGUGGAUCUUUCCCAAAAGGAAAGUAAAAGUUACCUGAAUCUACUCCUGGAUACAACACACUUGAGUUAAAGCUUGGAAAACUGAGGAGAAAGUCCCUGACAGCCCAGAAAAACGCUCAGAAUAUCACUGUAAAGAAAUAGAGGAUCUCAAGCUGAGAACAACGAAAGAUAAGUAAAUGAAUGAGGGCCACUCACUCCACAUAGUCCCCUCUUUGCCUUACCAUUUCCUCUCAGUUAUUUCCAUCUUUCCCCUUGAACUUCGCCGCCAGACAUUAGAACUCUUCUUUGAUGCACACUUGCAGGGAGAUUUGGACUAUUCCUAGGAGUAUGUUUGUAACUUCAUAGACCUACAAGGGAAAUUGUAUAUUCUGGCAAAUAGUAUAAAUACAUUUUGAAUGGAAAUAGCUUACUAUAUUACAAUUGCAGGAACUGCUACACUUACGCUGCUAUUUGCAACGGGACUAUAUACCAUGACACCCACACGGUGGAAUUCUGGACAAAGGAUUUCACGUGCUGUAAUCUUCUGCCUAUCACCUUUAUAACAGCUCUAAUAAUUACAGAAAAAAGACAAAUAUGAGGUUCUUGCUACUGAAACUUUUCUUCCUCCUCCUGAUAGAGCACGUCAAUCCCCUAAACCCUACAGCCCAACAAAUCCGACACCUCGCCUUGGCAGUCAACCUAACUUCAUGUUAUAUUUGUACUUCAGACUUGUCGUCAGCUGAAGUAUUACCACCACCAUUGGAGGAUUUAGCCAAAGUUAACAUUCCAGUCACCCUCGCUGCUCAGUCCAGUGCAACUUAUCCUGAUCAGCAAGUCAAGAACGUAUUUCUCCCAAUCAUCUCACAAGUUAUAAAGGAUGGAUGCCCAGACCUGAAUUUUACAGAAACCCCAACUCCUAUAAAAGUCUUUUGCAAUGUAGAUUCAAGGCUCACAUUUCCCAUUUAUUUCACGUCCCAAAGGUAAAAAAGGAACUUUCCUGAGAACCUUGUCCAUCUGCUCAUAUGAAGUAUUUCAUAGCUGGACGGCUCAGGAAAGGCCAUAUGACUCCCCAGAAAAGAGACUCAAAUGGUAUCUUAAGAACGCAGCACCAGUUCCUUCUCCUUAAAUAUCCAAAUUCAAGGCAACCUCAAUUUACUAUUAACACCAAUACUUCCCACAUUUCUACGGAUUGGUACUCAGUGUUGAUAGAUAACUCACCUUUACCUCUAACCCAAACGUUAGCUUGGGGAGUGUAGAGAAUGUUCUUAAAAUUCCACCCCAAUCAUAUAUUCACCCCCAGCAUUCGAGCAAAAUUUGCCUCAAUGUGGGAGGGCAUCAGUGGGAACUACUUAAGUACACAGACCCCCCAAUGUAGAGCUGACCUUUUGGGGACAUAAAGUGUCUCUAGAUCUCAAAUAAGAGCUAUAGUUCAUAUAUGGAAAUUCGGGGUAUAUGAGCCCACCAAGUCAUUGGAGGAGAACCUGUGGGGUUGCAGCAGUACUUUGAAAACUAUCCUAUGCCAUUACUUCCAUACAAUUCCCGUUCCUUAUAAAACACUCACAUUGUAGUAAAAAGGGCAGCUCACGUAAUUCUACUCCCUUUAGCAGCUGCUGUAACUGGACUCCUAGGAACCACCGGUCUGUCUCCUGAAUGUAAAUGGGUUUACAUUUAUCCUUUCAGCAAACCCAAGCUGUAGCUGAAAUUACAGCUGCCAGUCAGGCCUGGUGGCUCAUGCCUGGAAUCCCAGCACUUUGGGAGGUCAAGGCAGG